CCACUCAAAUGUUUCCAGGCGGCAGAUCAACGGGAAAAGCACAAAGAAGUCCGCUUAACUCCUCUCCACAAAGGGAUGAAAACGGAGGGACCUGUUUUUUGUCAGAGAAACGCUCCAGUCUUCAAUCUUUUCAGAAGGCCCCGUCUUCCUGAAAAGAAUGCAGAGAAGAACAAAAGAGAACUUUCUCCAGAUGACGGAAAUAUGGAAGCAGAGACUUCUUCCUGCCACAACUCCCAGCGGAGGAAGAGGCAGGCGUUCAGCCAGGAGGAGGAGCUGUACUUGCUGUGUGGAGUGAAGACGUACGGCCCCUCGUGGAACGCGAUCCUCUGGUCCUACCCCUUCCAGUCCGGUCGCACCAAUGUGGACCUGGCCCAAAAGUACAGGCGCCUGAUGAAAAGCAAAGCUCAGGGCGCAGCUUUGGCCUAACGCCUCUCCAGCUCCUUGAUGACCAUCUAUAAAAAUUUCACAAUUCUAUUCAACAAUUUAUCUAUUUAUUUAAACAUUAAUUUAAAAGAAAUAUAACAUUGACUUGUAUGUCACAUAUUUAUUUAUUUAUUUUAUCAUUCUUAAAGGACAGAAAUAUGUUUAUGGUAACUAUUGCAAAUAUAAAAGAAAUUAAAGUAUUUUCAUUCUGCA
rnacentral:lncRNA from 1 species